GUGUGCACUAAUCCUGUCCAAACCGGUUUGUUUGUGCCCGUUAGGACAAGUCGGUGAUCAGUGUCUGACAAGAAACGAAGACACUCCUGUCAAUGCAAACACUACACAGCCUCACGCAGUGGUACCGACACUACCAUCGGGUUUGCAGAUUACUUGUGACAUAGGAGAGACAUGUCAAAUACCAGUCUACGUCAACGGAGAUCCCAGAUUCCCUCUCACUGUCAACCGGGGACCUUCUUCUCCUGAGGUGGUCACCGCUGUCUCUUCACCUGUAAAGGACAACUCUACUGGCAUUUCCGUUGUGAAGUCAGUUACUGUCUGUGACUCCACAGGAAGCUGGCGAUCAUCACGUGUGCGUGGACAUCGUGGGAUCUGAUGUUAACGCUGUCGAUCACAUCUGCUACUUCAUCACCACUCGACCCAAAGGUACGAGACAGUCAGAUGUCUCCUUGCAUGAGUGACAUGCCAUUCUGGGUACAUGCACGCCU